AUGUCAAAAGGAGCUAAAGAGAGGGAUAUAUCUAUUUGUGUUUUCUUUGGACUAAUUAAGUUUGAUUGGUUUGCAGAGACCGAUGCGCAGCGAUUUCAUUUGUUUAAACAACAGUGGGGACUAUUAACUUUUCUUCCGCUUGAAUAUUUUAGAAAUCCGGGAUAUGGAUACUCUUUCGACGACGGAAGCGUUGUGUUUGGCGUUGACAUCAACACUUUGAAAAAUGGGAAGUUUUCUCUAACGAACAAAACAUUCGUGACCCUAUUUUCGAAUGGAGGCUCACCAAAUUCUCUACACUCUUUCAUGACUCUUACACUUCUGAUUACUUUUCUUCCGGUGGAAGAAACUGGGCAUUGAAAGUGUAUCCAAAUGGAGUUGGAAAUGCAACGGGUAAUUCGUUGUCACUCUAUUUGUUGAAUGAGUCAAAUGAUAAGGGUUACGUGGAAGCCAAGUUACAAAUUAUUGACCAGAACCAAUCCAACCAUUUCGUGAAAAAAAGGUUUAUACCUUUUUCAGAUCGCAGAAACGCAUCCAAAGGUUAUGUCGUCAACGAUACCCUCAAAUUUCAAGUCGAGAUCUUGUCCUUCUCGAAAACCGACUUCUACUCUCAUCAGUCGUCUGUUGUUCUUCCUAUUUCAACUGGAGAUAGUACUUAG